UGUUAUUAUUGUUAUUACUACGUAAAUAAAUGCAGGCUCGCUAUCCAUACGGUAGAAUGCCAAUAAUGCAUUUUUGUUCUAAUAGAGGAGUUGUUGAGCAAGAAAAUGGACAUGGAAAGAGGGAGCAUCCAUAGCUGACCAGUCCUAAUCCUAUUAACAACUGAUUGUACCAUUCAAGCUUUGCUGCCAAAGGUCUAUCAGUGGACCCUUACUUGCGUAUGCUUAAGGAGAAUCCAGACUUUCAUAA